rnacentral:rRNA from 1 species
ACGGGAGGCAGCAGUGGGGAAUAUUGGUCAAUGGGGGCAACCCUGAACCAGCGACGCCGCGUGAGUGAAGAAGUAUUUCGGUAUGUAAAGCUCUAUCAGCAGGGAAGAUAAUGACAGUACCUGACUAAGAAGCACCGGCUAAAUACGUGCCAGCAGCCGCGGUAAUACGUAUGGUGCAAGCGUUAUCCGGAUUUACUGGGUGUAAAGGGAGCGUAGGCGGUCUGGCAAGUCUGAUGUGAAAACCCGGGGCUUAACCUCGGGAUUGCAUUGGAAACUGUCGGACUUGAGUGUCGGAGAGGAAAGCGGAAUUCCUAGUGUAGCGGUGAAAUGCGUAGAUAUUAGGAGGAACACCAGUGGCGAAGGCGGCUUUCUGGACGAUAACUGACGCUGAGGCUCGAAAGCGUGGGGAGCAAACAGGAUUAGAUACCCUGGUA